rnacentral:snRNA from 1 species
UGUUACACACACUGAAGCU